rnacentral:lncRNA from 1 species
UUGUGAAUCCAUCUGGUCCAGGUUAGUUGGAACAUGAUACUGAUCUGUUCUGGGUUUCAAUUUCUUCCUUUUUUAAUCUUGAGAGAUUGUGUGUUUCCAAAAAUUAAUCAAUUUCUUCUAUAUUUUCUAGUUUGUGUGCAUAGAGGUGUUGGUAAUAGUCUUUGAUAAUCAUUUGUAUUUCUGUAGGAUCAGUUAUAAUGUCCCCUUUGUCAUUUUUUAUGUGCUC